CAGUAGCCGCGGUAAUACGUAGGUGGCAAGCGUUGUCCGGAAUUAUUGGGCGUAAAGGGCUCGCAGGCGGUUUCUUAAGUCUGAUGUGAAAGCCCCCGGCUCAACCGGGGAGGGUCAUUGGAAACUGGGAAACUUGAGUGCAGAAGAGGAGAGUGGAAUUCCACGCGUAGCGGUGAAAUGCGUAGAGAUGUGGAGGAACACCAGUGGCGAAGGCGACUCUCUGGUCUGUAACUGACGCUGAGGAGCGAAAGCGUGGGGAGCGAACAGGAUUAGAUACCCCCGUAGUCCCUGUCUCUUAUAC
rnacentral:rRNA from 1 species